rnacentral:rRNA from 1 species
CCUACGGGAGGCAGCAGUGGGGAAUUUUGCGCAAUGGGGGGAACCCUGACGCAGCAACGCCGCGUGCGGGACGAAGGCCCUCGGGUUGUAAACCGCUUUCAGCAGGGAAGAUCCAAGCCGGUACCUGCAGAAGAAGCUCCGGCUAACUACGUGCAAGCAGCCGCGGUAAUACGUAGGGGGCGAGCGUUAUCCGGAUUCAUUGGGCGUAAAGCGCGCGUAGGCGGCCGCCUAAGCGGGACCUCUAACCCCGGGGCUCAACCCCUUCCCGCCAUUGAAACUGGCGCUCUUGAGUGGAAGAGAAGUAUGCGGAAUGCGUGGUGUAGCGGUGAAAUGCAUAGAUAUCACGCAGAACCCCGAUUGCGAAGGCAGCAUGCCGGCUUCCGACUGACGCUGAAGCACGAAAGCGUGGGGAUCGAACAGGAUUAGAUACCCUUGUAGUC